rnacentral:lncRNA from 1 species
AAAGGCCCGACUUGUAGCCAAGGGCUUUACCCAACAAGCUGGUUUGGAUUACGAAGAAACGUUUUCACCAGUUGCCAAGUUAGUUAUGUGAAGACUUUACUUGUUGUUGCUGCUCAGAGGCAAUGGUAUCUCCACCAGAUUGACAUCAACAACACCUUUCUUCAUGGUGAGCUGAAGGAAGAAGUUUAUAUGAUGAUGCCUCCGGUUAUGAACAGCUGGGGUCGAAUGGUGAGAAGCUGGUUUAUAGAUUAAAUAAGUCGAUUUAUGGCCUUAAGCAGGCGUCACGACAGUAGAUCACCAAGUUGUCUUCUUACAUCAUCUCACAAGGUUUCAAGCAAUCAAAAUUUGAUUAUUUCCUAUUCAGUAAACAAAAGGGCUAUCCAUUCAUCGCGCUUCUCAUAUAUGUGGAUGCCAUUAUCAUUGGAGGGAAGGAUAUCACCUACAUUGAGCAGUUUAAACAAGGUUUGAAGGAGCAAUUUAAAUUGAAAGACUUAGGAGUUCUAAAAUUCUUCCUAGGACUUGAGGUAGCAAGGAAUUCUAAUGGCAUAUCCAUUUGUCAGAGAAAAUAUGCAUUAUAAAUUUUGACAGACACAGGUUAUCUUAGUGCCAAACCAGCUAGCAGCCCAUUGCCACAGAAUUUGAAGUUCAACAAAGAUGAUGGUGAAGCUAUUGCAGAUGCAAGCAUGUACAGGAGGUUGGUGGGAAAACUCUUAUACCUUACAAUCACAGGACCUGAUCUGUCAUAUGCUGUGCAGGUCUUAAGUCAGUUCCUUCAAUCACCAAAACAACAACAUUUGGAGGCACCCUGUCACGUGUUGCGGUAUAUAAAGGGCACACCUGGGCAAGGUCUCUUCUUUGCCUAAAAUGCCGACUUAAUUCUCAAAGGGUACUGUGAUGUGGACUAGGCAGCAUGCUCAGACACCAGAAGGUAUAUCACUGGAUAUUACAUAUUUUUAGGAAGUUUAUUAGUGUCCUGGAAGUCCAAGAAGCAACAUAUGGUUUCCAGAUCAUCAGUCGAAGCAGAAUAUCGAUCAAUGGUAGCUGUAGUGUGUGAAUUUAGUUGGCUGAAAAAUAUACUUAGUGACUUGGGAGUGCAACAUAAUAAGGCAGCUUUGUUGUUUUGUGACAACCAAUCAGCUAUACAUAUAGCCAAUAAUCCAAUGUUCCACGAACAUACAAAACACAUAGAUAUUGACUGCCUUUUGUUGGGGGACAAAGUGCAAGCAUAUAAGGUCAAGACAUUACAUGUAUCAUCAAAGGAGUUACUGG